GAUGAACGCUGGCGGCGUGCCUAAUACAUGCAAGUCGAGCGAACGGACGAGAAGCUUGCUUUUCUGAUGUUAGCGGCGGACGGGUGAGUAACACGUGGAUAACCUACCUAUAAGACUGGGAUAACUUCGGGAAACCGGAGCUAAUACCGGAUAAUAUUUUGAACCGCAUGGUUCAAAAGUGAAAGACGGUCUUGCUGUCACUUAUAGAUGGAUCCGCGCUGCACUAGCUAGUUGGUAAGGUAACGGCUUACCAAGGCAACGAUGCAUAGCCGACCUGAGAGGGUGAUCGGCCACACUGGAACUGAGACACGGUCCAGACUCCUACGGGAGGCAGCAGUAGGGAAUCUUCCGCAAUGGGCGAAAGCCUGACGGAGCAACGCCGCGUGAGUGAUGAAGGUCUUCGGAUCGUAAAACUCUGUUAUUAGGGAAGAACAUAUGUGUAAGUAACUGUGCACAUCUUGACGGUACCUAAUCAGAAAGCCACGGCUAACUACGUG
rnacentral:rRNA from 1 species